AGAAAAUGAUACUGAGUAAAACCUCCGUGGCAGAAAUGUGGUGACACGUCGACAUUGUCGCAGAACGGUACAGUGUUCUUGCAGAAAGAUUUUUCUUUUGAGAAUUGCUGACACAGCUGUAAUGAGACAGUAAAGAGGACUAGUACUUCACUUAACCAUGGGACAGAGGAUUCUGCCUGCACAAGAAAGAA